AGCAGCCGCGGUAAUUCCAGCUCCAAUAGCGUAUAUUAGUGUUGUUGCGGUUAAAAAGCUCGUAGUUGAAUUUCGGGAUUGGGAUAUAUCGGUCAUGCCUUUAGGGACAUGAAUCGGUGUGUGAUCAAUUCUCACCUUCUGGUGAAUUGGGAUGCUCUUGGGUGUUUCGAUGAACUAGGACAUUUACUUUGAAAAAAUUAGAGUGUUUAAAGCGGGCAUUUUUGCUUGAAUACAUUAGCAUGGAAUAAUAAAAUAGGACGAUGGUUCUAUUUUGUUGGUUUUAGGACCACGUAAUGAUUAAUAGGGAUAGUUGGGGGCAUUAGUAUUCAAUUGUCAGAGGUGAAAUUCUUGGAUUUAUUGAGGACUAACUACUGCGAAAGCAUUUGCCAAGGAUGUUUUCAUUAAUCAAGAACGAAAGUUAGGGGAUCGAAGACGAUUUAUGCACGUCGUAGUCUUAACCAUAAACUAUGCCGACUAGGAAUCAGACAAAGUUAAUUUUUUAACGACUUGUUUGGUACCUUACG
rnacentral:rRNA from 1 species